rnacentral:rRNA from 1 species
AUUGAACGCUGGCGGAAUGCUUUACACAUGCAAGUCGAACGGCAGCACGGGGCAACCUGGUGGCGAGUGGCGAACGGGUGAGUAAUACAUCGGAACGUGCCCAAUCGUGGGGGAUAACGUAGCGAAAGUUACGCUAAUACCGCAUACGAUCUACGGAUGAAAGCGGGGGAUCGCAAGACCUCGCGCGAAUGGAGCGGCCGAUGUCAGAUUAGGUAGUUGGUGGGGUAAAGGCUCACCAAGCCAACGAUCUGUAGCUGGUCUGAGAGGACGACCAGCCACACUGGAACUGAGACACGGUCCAGACUCCUACGGGAGGCAGCAGUGGGGAAUUUUGGACAAUGGGGGGCAACCCUGAUCCAGCCAUGCCGCGUGAGUGAAGAAGGCCUGGUGUAAGAC